rnacentral:rRNA from 1 species
AGAGUUUGAUCAUGGCUCAGGACAACGCUGGCGGUGUGCUUCACACAUGCAAGUCGAACGGGGUAGCAAUACCCAGUGGCGGACGGGUGAGUAACACGUAGGAAUCUGCCUUUAGAUGGGGGAUAACUGACCGAAAGGUCAGCUAAUACCGCAUAUGCCGAAAGGUGAAAGGAGCAAUCCGUCUGAAGAUGAGCCUGCGUCUGAUUAGCUAGUUGGUAAGGUAAAGGCUUACCAAGGCUACGAUCAGUAGCUGGUCUGAGAGGAUGAUCAGCCACAAUGGAACUGAGACACGGUCCAUACUCCUACGGGAGGCAGCAGUGGGGAAUUUUACACAAUGGGCGAAAGCCUGAUGUAGCGACACCGCGUGAGCGAUGAAGGCCUUAGGGUUGUAAAGCUCUUUUGCCAGGGAAGAUGAUGACUGUACCUGGAGAAUAAGCCCCGGCUAACUUCGUG